AACGGCCGCGGUAUCCUAACCGUGCAAAGGUAGCAUAAUCACUUGCCUAUUAAUUGUAGGCUAGAAUGAAUGGGUUAACGAAAUAAAAACUGUCUCAAUUAAUUACCUAAAAAUUAUUCUCUACCUGAAGAAAAGUAGAUUUACUCGAAGGACAAGAAGACCCUAGAGAGCUUAAUUUUAACUAUAGGAUUCUACUAUAGAAAUAUUCGGUUGGGGCGACCCAGGGAUAAUAAUCACCCAAUAAAUAAAAGAUAUAUAAAUCAAGUAAAUGACCCUAUAAAGAUCAUCAAACAAGCUACCUUAGGGAUAACAGGCUAAUCCCACUUAAGAGUCCUUAUCAACAGUGGGGUUUGGCACCUCGAUGUUGGCUUAGG
rnacentral:rRNA from 1 species